rnacentral:misc_RNA from 1 species
GGAGGGGAAUCUUCAAUGAGAUUACUCAACCAAUGAAUAUGAAAGAUAUCUGCAUUCCAUAACAGUGGCUCCUUAUCCAGAAAUCGAUCAACAACAUAGAGUUCACCGCCACAUUCAACCAAAUGCUUCUGAUUACCAAAACCACACAAUGGAGGAGAAAACUGUAUCAGUUUCAUUGAUGAAUCAAUCCAGAAAACUGUUCCCCA